GCUGAUAUAGGGAUGUAUGAAGCGGGUGUCGUCGUGUUUGUUGUGACGUGUUCGAAUGGUUGGCUCAGCUAGUGCGCGAGAAAACAUUCAUUUCUACCAGUCGCUCAGCAAUCUGUCGAUGUAUUACCACGCUGGUGAAGUUAGUAGGGUGAUGAGUUGAUUCAGCACUUCUCUCAACAGCCAUCGCCGAGGCGAUGUCGGCGAAUAACGUGCUAGCUGUUGCUGUCACGCUGAUGGGAUGCGUGGUACCUUUUGGCAUCUGUCACGGAAAAGCAGAGGACGUGCGACGAGAACGCCAACAGGAACUCGAAGUCGUCAGCCGAAUCUUAAGCGUCUUCGCGAAGCAAGAGAAAGAUCCAUGUAUACCACGUGGGCGCAUCCUAGCUAUCAUACGGACCGAAAAACCAAGGUACAAUGCCACUUGGUCCAUCGUAAUGUUGUUCAUAUCCAACCUCGUCUUGAUGUUCAACCUUUUCGUCAUGGUGGUGACACGGUACCUGCGCUACGACAUUCGGAACAGCAUUGGCCAGCUCCUCAGAGAGGCUGCUGAUGAAGACACAACUUCACCUCUUCCGAGCUCCUUUUAUUAACCAAUUCGAAAGGAGACAAUGUGAAAGAAUGGAACCACUAUGACAAUACACAGGUUUUACUCGUGCACUGCA